AUAGAAAGCAGUGAAAAACGCUUUCUAGAACCCUACAAUUGAGAAGAGGCAGCCUCAGCCUGAAAUCAAGAGAAGCGGCAUGAAGGUACUCAAAAUGUCACUCAUCAUGGUUGUGAUCGCAUGUGCAUUGAUACAAGCCAAUGCGAGCCAACUAAACUUGUACAAGGGAAAGUGGUGUACAGGAUCUUUUACUGUUGUAUGGGAUCGCCAAUGCGCUGAGAUACCCGAAGAUGCUGUUUCGUACAGGCGAAAGUGGAGAGGUUCUUGCCUCAGACAGAACAUGUGUUCAGGGUCUCGAAGGCAUUGGCAGCGUCGUGAUAUCGGAUGACUCAUUUCCAGCAUCUUGAUAUCUCGGAUGAGCACUUGCCAGUUUCACUGACUCCUGGCAUAAAUAUAUAGCUUGCAAUGUCAUGAAUAAUAUCAUUUGGUGAUGAGUUGUGACAGCAAGGAUAAGGAUAAGAUGAUUUUGCCUCUGUUGCGGAGGAAUUC